rnacentral:lncRNA from 1 species
AUAAGACAGGGGAGAGAAGAAAAGUAAAACCACCCCUCAAAAGAAAGUGGAAGUUGAAACUAGGGUAGCACCCCUCCACAGAUGUCGUUCUCUAUGUUCCUCGAAGCCGCAAGAAAGAACAAAUGUCACUGAGUUGUCCUAUGAGGUUUGAACUAAAGAAGGGAGCUAAAAUGUAUAUGCCCAAGGGUACCUACAUGAUGCGGG